UACGUAGGGUGCGAGCGUUAAUCGGAAUUAUUGGGCGUAAAGCGCGCGCAGGUGGUUCCUUAAGUCUGAUGUGAAAGCCCACGGCUCAACCGUGGAGGGUCAUUGGAAACUGGGAAACUUGAGUGCAGAAGAGGAAAGUGGAAUUCCACGUGUAGCGGUGAAAUGCGUAGAGAUGUGGAGGAGCACCAGUGGCGAAGGCGACUUUCUGGUCUGUAACUGACACUGAGGCGCGAAAGCGUGGGGAGCAAACAGG
rnacentral:rRNA from 1 species